GACGAACGCUGGCGGCGUGCCUAAUACAUGCAAGUCGAGCGGACGGAUGGGAGCUUGCUCCCAGACCGUCAGCGGCGGACGGGUGAGUAACACGUGGGCAACCUGCCUGUAAGACUGGGAUAACUCCGGGAAACCGGGGCUAAUACCGGAUAACUCUUUCCCUCACAUGAGGGAAAGCUGAAAGAUGGCAUCUCGCUAUCACUUACAGAUGGGCCCGCGGCGCAUUAGCUAGUUGGUGAGGUAACGGCUCACCAAGGCGACGAUGCGUAGCCGACCUGAGAGGGUGAUCGGCCACACUGGGACUGAGACACGGCCCAGACUCCUACGGGAGGCAGCAGUAGGGAAUCUUCCGCAAUGGACGAAAGUCUGACGGAGCAACGCCGCGUGAGUGAUGAAGGUUUUCGGAUCGUAAAACUCUGUUGUCAGGGAAGAACAAGUACCGGAGUAACUGCCGGUACCUUGACGGUACCUGACCAGAAAGCCUCGGCUAACUACGUG
rnacentral:rRNA from 1 species